GACCUGGAUCCAUGCGAUCGCAACACCUAAAUCUUGUCAGGACCGGAAGGUAGCAGCAAUACAGGAUGCUUGUGGUAGGCGUGGUUUCCGGGUUCCC
rnacentral:SRP_RNA from 1 species